AGAACAGCUGCCAUAGAAAACCAUGCCAAUGGAUUGCUUGAGUAUGAUCCAGGAAGCAAGAGGCUAAAUGAAUCUGAUCUCAUACUCCCUUUGUAAUGGGAAGACCUUGAGUAAAGGAAUUUUGAUUGCAGUUUCAGCCAGCUGUAGCUUUGUUUGUUUUUUAUUUUGUUUUGUUUAGUUAGAUUUCUUUUUACAUCCUGAAGCCUGGGGAGCUGUGACAGGUGACUACAAAGGUUGACAUCUCUAUAGGAAGACACUGGUGAUGUGGAUGUGGAGGAACAGGAGGUGAAUGGAAGUUUUUCAAAAGAUUAAGAUUUUGAGAGUAUCAGGUGGGGAAUAGAGGAAAAAUGACUGGAUAGACCCAGUGUGGUCAAGGAUGGGCCAAGGGAAUUGAAACAUGUAUUGCCAUAUAUUUAGAGAGGCUCCCACUUACAAGCGGACUGUGAGGACUUUCACCUGUCUGGAAGCAUUCACCCAUGGCCUGAAUAGUACGUGCCUCUGAGGGAGUUUCAUCCUGGUGCUAGGCCAGUCAUGUUUCAAAUCUUGGAAACUGCUUGAUGACGGCGUCCCUUCUGGUCGACUGCUGCCACAACAUGAGAGAAAUGCCCAGCUUAGGACUGCUUCCAGUGACUGAGGUUGCAGUUCCAACCACGCACAUGAGCUGCCCCAAAGGAGCUACUCACCUGAGUGACAGCACAGCAGUGCUGUCGGGGAUUUCAAGUGUCCUUCUUUCCAUCUGCCCUCUCCUUUAACUCUUGCCUCUCAAGACUAAAAACUGUACCAAGAUUCUCCAAGAAUCUUCUCUAUUAAUUCCUGGCAAGUUGGAGGUGUAAAUGAGACCCUGGUUAAAGUUACCCCUCUAAUAGCUCUCUGUUAUAUGUGGAGAAAAUGUUUAAUGUUUUGACAUCAAACAUCUAGUGAUGAUAUAAAAAUUUCCUUUUGAAUAUAUGUGGAGUUUAAUGGUGGUGGGUUAGGGAGACAUCUAAUUAGGUGCUUCUCUUAUGUUUUCAUUCUACAAUAUAGUUUUUAAUUGAAAAGUUUCCUCCUAUACCUAUUAUGGAAGCCCAAUAAUUUUCAAAGCAUAAUCUCAAAUGGGAACACAAAUUUAAAUACUCACAAUUUAAAUUUUGUGAAAGGAAAAAAAAUAAAAUUAAAAUUAAAAAAUGGUCCUUUAUGUCAGGCCUCUGAGCCCAAGCCUGCACAUAUGCAUCCAGAUGGCCUGGAGCAACUGAGGAAUGACAGGAGAGGUGAAAAUAGCCAGUUCCUGCCUCGACUGAUGACAUUCCACCAUUGUGAUUUGUUCCUGCCCCACCCUAACUGAUCAACUGAUCCUGUGACAUUCCUUCUCCCGGACAAUGAGUAUCAGAAGCUCCCCACCUAGCACCUUGUAACCCCAGCCCCUGCCCACAAGAGGAAAACCCCUUUGACUGUAAUUUUCCACUACCUACCCAAAUCCUAUAAAACUGCCCCACCCUUAUCUCCCUUUGUUUUUGACUCCUUUUUCGGACUCAGCACGCCUGCACCCAGGUGAUUAAAAAGCUUUAUUGCUCACACAAAGCCUGUUUGGUUGUUUCUUCACACAGAUGCGUGUGACACUUUAGAGACUUUCUCUAAUUUCUACUGAUAAUGCAUGGUGAUCUCUUUUUUGAAAACCAGUUUGUGGGUUAAUAGUUUGACUAUAUGGAGGACUGUGAGAAAUAAAGAGAAAAUGUAUUUUCUUGUGAUUCAGUAUUGCUGGUAGCUAUUUUAACAGUUCAUAUUUGUAUUUUGUGUUUCUUUAAUUUAUUGGUGUGACAAAUAACUCAUUUAUACUCAUUUAUAUUGAUUUUAAUAUACCAUGAAUAAAGUAUUUAUAGUCCAGGCAUUUCAUUUUCUGUAAUCUCAAUAUUCAAAUGUUUGUUUGUUCUUAGAAAUAGUUUUUAUCUUUAAUUUAGUAGAUCCUAGGUGAUGUAGAUGAGCAUUUACCUAGAAACACAAACAUCCACAAACAUACUUAUGCAUACUCACUAAAAAACAAAAAUAUUCAGUGCCACCAGGUGUAUGUCUGAAAACUGGGUGUCUGCAUCCUUCCUGAUUUGCAGGUAAAAUUUAAUGAUGAUAAUGAUAAUGAGAACAAUUUGAAUUAUAUUUCUUAAGCUUUGCUAUGAACCAAUACCAUGUUAGGUGCUUUGCAUAUAUUUUCUUAUGCUUUCUUCAGCUUACCUUGUUAGAUAAUGUUCAUCUUCCUCAUUUUCAGAUGAUUUGAUAGAGAUUUGGAAAGCUUAUAUGACUUGUUUGAGGUCACUUACCUGGAAAGUGGCAGAAUUAAGAUUUCAAACAAGGUCUGCCAUUCUCUAAAACGCAAACUCUGAGUUACUACAGUAUGUAAUUUUCCCAAGUUAAAAAUUUACCACAAAGAGAUUUCCCUCCAAUUUUUUAGGCACCAACUCUUCCAUAAGACCAAGAAACCUGUAGUUUCUCUCCACUGCCAUCACUGCAAUACAUCAGUAGUGUACAAUCUUUACCAUUCAGAAGGUUUCACAUCUCAAAUCAAUCACAUUUUAUUUUAUUCCCAUUCACUUUAAACUUUUUUCUUUCUUUUAUCAAAAAUGUUCAGAAUUCCAUAACUAUAUGAUGCCUUAUAAGUGCCAUUUGACUUUAAAACUUCAAAUUACCACAUUAUUAUUCAUCUGUGGGCAUGGCCCCUAGCAUAGAAAAAAUAGCAGGCAGAAGUUGAGGUCCCACUAACCUGGGAGAUCAUCUUUGAUUUUUGAUUUAAUAUUUGUUAAAAGAUGAACCAAACUGGAAUGUCAGUAGGUACAUUGAGCAC
rnacentral:lncRNA from 1 species